UGUGGAGGAGGACAGAGAGGUGGGGCCCAACUCACAGCCUCACCUGUCUCCCACCACAG
ensembl:miRNA Mir7056 microRNA 7056